AGUGAACGCUGGCGGCGUGCCUAAUACAUGCAAGUCGAACGAAGUGGCGCACGGGUGAGUAAUAUAUAGUUAAUCUGCCCUACACAGAGGAACAACAGUUGGAAACGACUGCUAAUACCUCAUAGUGUAGGAUGAGACUAUAUCGUAUCAGCUAGUUGGUAAGGUAAUGGCUUACCAAGGCUAUGACGCGUAACUGGUCUGAGAGGAUGAUCAGUCACAUUCGACCAGAGGCACGAGCCAGAAUCCUUCGGGAGGCAGCAGAAAGCAAUAGUGCGCAGUGGGUGAAACCCGGACGCAUCUACGCCGCGUGGAGGAUGACACUUUGGGGAGCAUAAACUCCUUUUAUCAGGAAAGCGGUACCUGAAGAAUAAGCACCGGCUAACUCCGUGCCAGCAGCCGCGGUAAUAC
rnacentral:rRNA from 1 species